AUAAAAAUCUAUCAAACAAUUCAAGUAGCAAUAAUAAAACGCAUUGUCAUUUUAUGUUUACACUUAUUGAAGUUUGUACUAUUGAUUGUACAUUUGUUUGAAGUGUUUGAAUAUACAUUUUAUACUAAAAAGAAAAGAACAUCAAAUUAAAAAUGGGUAUUAUUAAACGUUUCCGUGCUCAAAUAUUGAUACAAAAAGCUUCGUCUAGAAAAUCGAUUGCCCCUGAAUUUUAUCGAAGAAUAUCACAAACUGCAUCACAAUCGCAGAAAAACAUAAAUAACAAUAUAAAUAACAAGAAAACUAUUAGCACUGAUAUUAAACAAUCCAAGUCUUCAUCCUAACAAUAGAAAAAUAAGAUAAAGUAAAAAGUUAUUUGCAUUGGAUUCAAUAUGUCGAAUAAUCUAGACUAUUAGACAUAAAAUCUUCUGCAUGAUGUAGAUAAAUUAAAUUACUAUAUACGCUUAAUCUCUACAGAUAUGAAUCAUAUAUGAUAUUAUAUAAAUUAUUAUUAAUAUAUUAUUGCUGAUUAACAACUGUAAUAUGUACUUUAAUUUAUACUAUAAAAAUCGUGUCAUAACAUAAAAUUGCAAUAAAAUAUACUUUACUUACCUAGCAAGUUUUGCAAGAGGAAAGUGAAUGCACAAUUUUUGAUAAAAUUCACAAAAUUCCUUAUAUGAUCGGAAUAAAUAAGUAGGAUCUGCAUGACCUUUUCGUUGUAUACGCAAGAUAUACAUAUAAUAUUUUUCAGGAUCAUAUCGUUUUUGGUAGCCAUGCACUUGAACACUUGUUAACUGACCUUCCUGCUGCAUUCUA